GACGAACGCUGGCGGCGUGCUUAACACAUGCAAGUCGAACGGAAAGGCCCUGCUUGCCGGGUCCUCGAGUGGCGAACGGGUGAGUAACACGUGGGUGAUCUGCCCUGCACUUCGGGAUAAGCCUGGGAAACGGGGUCUAAUACCGGACAGGAGCCAUUUUUCGUGUGAUGGUUGGAAAGUUUUUUCGGUGUAGGAUGAGCUUGCGGCCUAUCAGCUUGUUGGUGGGGUAACGGCCUACCAAGGCGGCGACGGGUAGCCGGCCUGGGGGGGUGGACGGCCACAUUGGGACUGGGAUUCGGCCCAGGCUCCUACGGGUGGCAGAGGUGGGGGAUAUUGCACAAGGGGCGCGAGCCUGAUGCAGCGACGCCGCGGGGGGGAGGACGGCCUUGGGGUUGGAAACGCCUUUCGCUAGGGACGGAGCUUUUUGUGACGGUACCUAGAUAAGAAGCACCGGCUAACUACGUG
rnacentral:rRNA from 1 species